UCCCUUAUUCAGAACUUUUGCGAUGAGUUUGUUAUUUAGCUGGUCUGAUGUCACAAAACCGACAUGAAGAGUUCCUUCCAGGACCAGCAGGAUUUCACUGGCACGGGGGUGAAUAUGAGGUGGCCUUUGGCCGUAUGGCGCAUAGUCAAUGCGGAAUGCUGAUAUGCCAAGGGUGUUGAGGCCUGGAAUUUGCUCAACAUUUGCAUCUGUUUCAUCAACACCAAGUCGAUUUGCUGUGUUUCCAGGCUUGUCUAGCCCUGAGAAGAAGAAAUCAUCUGCUCUCGCAAGCUUGGGGUCCUUGCAGAACUUCCCAUUCACAAACACUACAAGAACACACACACAUACACACACAAAGGGGGAAAAAAAGAAUAAUUAAGUAGCAGCACAAAUUAUAUUGAAAUUUAUAUGUUUCGUUAGUUCAGCUUACGUACCACCAUCCUUCGGGUCCUCGAUGGCUACACAGAUAUCUUGUAGAGGGCUAGGGUCAGAGGCAGAGGCCAAAGAAGAAGCCAAAGCCAAGAGAGCAAAACCUAUAAGAAAUUGAAUUGCCUUCAUGGUGAUUAAUUAACAGGAUGUACCUAUCUCAAACUUUAAUCAAGUGUUGUGAUUUGAGAAUAUUGCGAGGCAAACUAGACUAUUUAUAGAACGGAGUCCGUGAACGAGUUUGCGUGUUCAAUUAAUUAGUCCUCGAAGCCGGUCAAGAUUACUGAGUUCUCAUUGGUUAUCUUUGUAAUGUUUCUCAGCCUUCAUUUUCAUUUUUGUUUUCAAAAUUUACACAUCUUAAAUAUAAAUUGUAAAACGUACAAAACAAAGUCUGGCUGACAGUGAUAAAACCCAGACAGGUUAGACACGUUUCCGCCAAUCUUCAAAGCGAACCAUAAAAUACGAUAAGAAACAAUAUUUUAACGCGUUUUCCAAAGCUUAAUUUAAAUAUAAUUUUUUCAUUGGAAAGAAACGAGUUGAAGAAUUUAUGAAAAUGGGUGAGAAAGAAAUUCAUGUCUCUAGCAACAGACUAACAGUUCGGAGUCAUGUUCUGUAGAUGUCGAUGUUACCGGACUUGAUUGGUUUGUUGUUGGACUUAAUGAAGAAGCAUUAUUAGCCUUUUUUUUUUCUUUUUCAUAGCAAUUUUCGUAGCUGCUUUAACCAUUUUUAGUUCUAUCAAUGCUUUACCGAGUCAAUGAUGCACAUGUUUUUUUCAUUACAUGUUAAAGUCACAAAUCAUCUGCUUCAAGAAAAAACGUGAAGACUAUGAUCAGGAGGAACCAAAAGUCUUCUAUCUUAUUUUCAGUGGUCACGUUAAUUAGAAGCUGGAGUCGGCACGUUUUGUUAGAGAUAGUGAAAUCCUUUUACAGUGUCAAUUGAUAUAUAUCAUUUCAACUUUAAAAGUUAAUUUUAAUAUUUGAUAAUUUUUUUUAAAAUCGCUUUUAGUAAAAUCAUGUAGAUCUUGAAAAGUAAAAAAAGAUUAGUUUUUUAAAAUUUGAUUUCGAUGAUCACUUUUAUACUUAAUACAAUUUCAUAUAUAUCCUUAUGUAUAAGAAAAAUCCAAAAUCAUCCUCAUUAAUUAGAAAAUAAAAUUAUUAAUUUGAAAGAGAUUAUUUGUAUUACCAAUUAUAUUGAGAUAACAAGAUAAAAAUAAAAUUAAUAAUGUAAAUAUUUAUUUUAGUUAUCAAUUUUUAUAUAUACACACCUAAAAAUAUUUUAUUUACAUGUUUAUAAAUUUGUAAAUAAAUUUUAUCCAACAAAUGUUCACUUUAAUCAUUUACAUUCUUACAACAUUUUAACAGUAAGAUUUACCAAAUACAUACGACUACUUUUAAAACCCACACACUUUUAAAAAUAAAUUUUACUGAACGUUUAAUUGGUUCUCUAUUAUAGCUGAUUAUUUCUACAGUAUGACUAACAGUAAUUAUUUUACAAGUUAUAACAUUAUUAAACUAGCCCAUAGUGACUCAAUUGAUUAAAACUAAGUCAAUUAAAUCACUAAGUUAGGAAAACAAACCGCCCUUUAGUAAAUUUCUUAAUGUAAAUAUUAGUAAAUUAUGAUGGAAAUAAAAAUAAUAAUCUCUUCCUUUGUUCACCUUUUAAUUAAAAUCCGUUUCAUUAGCUAUUUUGAAUAACAAACUGAAUUGAUCACGAAAUAAUAAUCUCUUUUUCCAAUCAUAAUCAUUUGUAAGGACAUUAAUUAUGUAUUUUUAAUGGGUUCAUAUGUUAAUUAUAUUGUAUACCGUUUGUCAACCAAACUGGCAACCAUUUUAUUGGUUAAAAUUCAUUCAUAUCAGUAUUUAAGAUACGCAUCACUUUCUAGCAACAAUGCGUCAAUGUUAUAUAUGUUCCCGUUCAAACUUUCCACUUGCUGCUUCACCCAUGUAAGUUAUGAAAAAGUUGCUGAGAAAAUGAAAAAAUAAACCAUGGCCAUGAAAAUAAUAAAACGCCGCCAGCCGUUUAGUAUAAUUCUAGGAGCGAUUUAUCAUUUCUUUUUCCUUUUUGCUUUUUAUUUCAACAAUUUAUUAUUGACUAGUGUAUUGCAGGCUUGCAUCAAUGAAGUGUUUGGAUCAUUUAUCCCCUUUUUUUCAAAUAUAAUUCAGAUAUAAUUCUAGAUUAUGCUGGUAGAAACAUCGUCUCAAAGAUUCUAUUGGGUCAUCAAUAGCUGUAUAUGAGUAUAUCUUGAAGAGGGCUACUUUUUCUAGGAUAUGCUGCUAGAAAAUUUUGCAACACGUAACCACUACGAGUUAGUCUUUUUUGUUUAAUUAAGACUCUAAUCUCCCUUUCUAGAAUGCAAGAUAAAAAAUUAAGCUAGAAACGUUAUAUCAAAAUAAUGAAUAGUUACUAAUUUUUGUCAAAUAUAAUUCUAGACAUUCUAGUCACACAUUUUACCAUUUAGUCCAUAAAUUUUCAAAGUACAUAUUAUAUUUCUAAUAUUAUACUUUUAUGUUCAAAUUACUCUGUUGAAUUAUACAUGCGGCUUUUUAACAUAUUAUCCGCUGUGGGUUUAGAUUUAGUAAUGGCAAACCCGCUGCGGGUGCUGCCUAUUGCUAUCUCUAGCCGUGUACUUUUUUUUUCCUUUUAACUACAUUGAUGGAAAGCUGAAUUUUGACUUUUUAUAUUCUGACGAUCCUUCCUUGUACUUCAGUAUGAAGGAAUACGAAGAGAGGGCUGUAUCUUUGGCAUUGGAUCGGCAAAAGCUCCAGGCCCUCACCAAUAAACUUAAAUCAGUACGCUUGACAUGUCCUCUAUUUGACACAGCACGAUGGAUGAGUUGAAACUAAUGUUUGCGAUUGUUUUGCAGUUCUUGGCCCACUUUGUGAAAGAAGUGACUUACAAAUGGAUGCUUUUUUUUUUGGAAAUUGCAAGUCAAGAAUCUGGAGAGGUCAUAUAUCAAAAUGUGGAGUCUCCAUUGCUCUGGGCAGAAGCCCCAACACUUCAAAGUAACUGAGAAUGACUUGGACUUCCCUUGCGAUAGAUAGGUAUAUGGGAAGGGAAACGGGAUUGUAGAUAAAAGCAAAUAGGAAUAGUAGAACGAUGAUUAUUAUUGUAUUUAGAAGAAGAAAUUGUUUCACCUUAUUCAAAUGACGCCAUGGCUGAGUUUGUGAUGUCAGUGCUGAUAAUGGAUUGUAGUCUGUGUACAAAUGUACUUUUCUAUUUAUAAGGAUUUGUGAAAAACGUUGGAGAUUAGAAAAGAAAAUAAAUAGAUUCUUCCUCAAGCCAUCAGUUCUGUUCUAUUAGAGUUGGGACCAGUGGCACCUCCCUAAUCUCAUCAUCAAAUUCCUUCUUCAGUUAUAUUUAUUUCAUCUGUGAAAACGUCGUUUUUUUUCCUUUUUUUUAAGAACACUUUUAAUUUUUAUUUUAUUUUUUUAGUUAAAAGUAGUAUUGUGUUAUUAAUUUUUAUUUCUUUUGUAAUCUUAUUAUUAUCUUAUGCACAAGAUAAAAGAUUUUUUAGGUGACGAGUUUUUCAAUAUUAAUUAUUUAAUUAAAUUAUACAUAUGUUAAAUUAUAAUUUAAAAAUAAAUUUAAGUAUAAAAAUAUUUAAUCGAUAACAAAUCUGAAAAUAAUAAUAGAUUAUUUCAAAUUUUGUAUGGUUUAUUUUAGUUAGAUAAGAAGUAACCGGUACAAAAUUUUAAAAAAAAAAAGAUUGAUUAUAAUUGUAAGUAAUUUUUUUUUUUAAAAAGAUAGAUUAUCAAUAUAAGUGAUUUAUUGAAAAGAAAAAUUUGUGUAUGAUUAAUUUUAUUUGAAGCAGGGUUUUUGAAGGAUAAUGAAGGGGUCCCAAACACUGUGGAGUUGUUGGCUCUUCCGCUGUCAAAGUCACGUAUGCUUGGAAGCUUUUAACCACCGCUGUCAAAAGUCACGUAUACUGCAAUUGGAUCAUGGAUUUUUCAUUUAAUAAGAUAACCACCGGCGGCAACUCUGAUAUACAAAAACAUGUAUUUCAGAUUACGGAAUCUAUCCAAACAUAUAGCAUGCGAGUGCGAUUACCAGCUCGAGCAGUUUUUAUUGCGGAAUUCUUUCAAACACAUAGCACGCAUGUGAAGUUCCCACAUUGGACCUUCCAAGAUGUUAGUUUCUCUAUUCAGAAACCGAACUCAAUGCCUCAUCCCCUCCUUCAAAACCAUGACCACCGCAGCCGCGGCUAAAACCUCAAAAGACGAUUACUUCGCAGCCGUAAACCACAUCGCCAUCAUAGUCCGUCACUACAUAUAUCCAGAACGCACCCUCAACAGACUCAACCUCACCCUCACCUCAGAGCUCGUCUACCGCGCCUCCGCGUCUGCCACACUACUUGCCCUUCCAAAUCCCUCCGCUUCUUCACCUGGGCCCGCUCCCAGCCCCAAUACUCCCCCACUUCCCUCGAAUUCGAACAGCUCAUCUGACCCUCGCCCACCACAAACUCUACCAGUCCAUGUGGAAUCUACGUUCUUCUGGCAUUUGAUUGCGUUCCACCCAAGCACGCUGUUAUUUAUUUUUAAGAAAUAAUGGUGUUUGUAAUUAUUGUCUUUUCUGGCUUUAUCUAGAGUUUAUCUGAGAAAUAAACAGUCAUAAAUAGUUUUGGUUGAUGGACUCUUGGACUUGGUAUUGGAAUUUGGAUUGAAGCAGAGGCGGUUGGCUCGGAGAAAUGAUUACUUUGAACAUUUUUUGCAUGCAUGUAUUUUAUGAUUUUUCAUUUGCUUCUAACCUUGUUGUUCAUUCAAAUGAAAUCAAAUACUCAUUUGGUAUGAUAGAAUCAGUGGGCAAUCAUUUUUAUUUUAGCUUAAAAACCAGGUUAUCUUUGCAUAGCUAUAGUUUUAUAGUUUCUGUUUCUGUGCUUUAUGCUUUCAAAUACUGAUGAUGAACCGAGUGUUUAGCCCAGAGCAAGCUUUCGGGUUUAAGGACAUUAAUUUGCAGCUGAUUCAGCGGUUACACAUACAAUGAUAAAAAUGUGUACCCAAACGCACAGUUUAUGAGCAUGUCUCUCACUGUAUACACGAUUGAGAGUGGGUCCGCCUCCUACUUUAUAACAAUUUAUGUUAGAGUAAUGAUACAGCUACAAACUCUUGUACAAACUUAUUUUGUACAAACUGACGUGGCAUUAAUUCAUUGGUUGAAUGAAAAUAUAAAAUAGUAAAAACAAAUUAUGUGGGCCAAGUGAUAUUUAAUUCAACCAAUCUUAUCAUGCCACAUCAGUUUGUACAAAAUAAGUUUGUACAAGAGUUUGUGGCUAUAUCAUUACUCUUUAUGUUAUACUGACAAUAUUUUCCGCAGUGAUCGCAUGUUUGAAGUUUUGCUUCUCGAAAUGGCUCCUUUCAUUUUUUUCUUUAUUAAAAUAGACAAUUUUCGUUUUUCGUUUUCGACAAGGAAGGUAACUGAUAUGUUUAACGAAGGGAUGAUGUUUUCCUUCAAAAAAUAGUUCAGAGUUAUCGGUAGCGUCUUGUCUUUAAUUUUCUGAACUCCGUGCAGUUGGUGUAAUAGUUUUUGCUGUUCUUCUCUUUGCGGCUAGUGCCUAGAGAGAUGGAGAGAAGCUGAAUGUGAACUAGGAAGGUGGAAAUGUUGUACAUUAACAUACGUAAUCAACUACGACUAUAAAUCCUUUUCAUGGACCCAAAACAUCAUAUCAAUCAAUGCCAUUAUAGUUAUCAAAACUAAAAAAUUAUGGCUUUUGAUAAGUUACAGCUUGUUGUAAGUUUUUGUCCUUACAAAAACAUACAAAAAAUAGUAAUAUGACAGUGAGCACACUUAAUUUUUGUAUGGGCUGUAAAUUACGCUAACUUAGUGUAACUAAAUGUAUUAUAAGAAAGACAAAAUUUAUUGAUUUUUUUCUUAACUAAGUGAUUAGAAUACAUUUACUCAUAAUUAUCGAAGCAGAAAUUAAGUGAUAAUCAAGGGCUUGUAAAACACUUAAUUUCAAACCUCUAAAUUUGAGAACUAUAACAAUAAGAGAAGUUAAGUAACAAUUAAGUGCUUAUAAAACGAUAACUUUUAUUAUAGGUAAAGGAGAUAUGUAUUCAAUAACUAACCACAGGCUGAAGCUCAUCUCAUAUGAAUACUAUUGUGCGAUAGAGAUUACAAUUGUAUGACAAAUGACCCUUGAUAAAUUUAGACAACUAGUAGAAAUUAGAAUUUAAAUUUUUUAUUUUUAAGUUUUUCCAAUAUUCCAAUGUUAAACAUUUAAUUAAAAUUAAAUAAAUCUUAAGGAUAUAUAAAAUCAUGUUUUUAUAAUAGGCCUAAAACGAAACUUUAGAAAAUACAUUUUUUAUGUUAAUUUCUCUUAUACAUUUAUCUGUUACAUACAAAUAUGAUAUGAAUGAGUGAUAAACUCUUUCAUAAAUUAUAUAUUUGACAAGACCAAACCAAAACUUCCACAAAAUAAAUAAUUAAUUAGUUAAUCCAAAACUACCUCGGUUAAUCUGUUAAAUGUUGAAUGUGUUUGAAUAAAGUAAUUUAUAACAAUUUUAAACAAAAUAAAUUUGGUCUAUUCUAUAUUUCAGUCGUCAAUGAGAGUUCUUUUCACCCUUCAACUACUGGACUCUCGCAAUUUAGAGUUAUCAUUUUUAUUAUUAUUGUUAUUGGUCAUAAUUUUAAAAUUUGUUGGGAAAUCUGCGGAAUUAUAUAUUAAACAUCUAAAUUAAUAAUAUGUAUGAAAUAAAUGGCAUCCCACACAAAUAUAAACAAUAAUUUUACUUGAAUUAAACACCCAAAUCCUAUAUUAUAAUAUUAUGCAUAAUUAAACUUACACACUAGACCAUUUUAUUAUAAUUUGGACUUGUGAAGUAUAUUAUUCACUCAGAUUUAUCAACCGUAGAUCACUUUAUCAAACCAUGAUUAUUGUAGAAUUAAAAAAGUUACUGCUUGUCAACUGUAAAUGGACGAACUGUUUAUACUCACCCUUUAUAUAAUUGUGUAAUUAAUUAAUCUUUGUAUAACUCAAAAUUAUUGUUUACUCUAUCAAUCUUAAUGAAUUGAAAGUAGAUGGUUUUAAUUUGCAAAUGUUUUUGCUUCUAUAUUUGUAACUAUUUUUAUUUAAAAAAAUUCAUUAAACAAAUAAAGUUGACCAAAGCAUUCUCCAAAUGCCGACCGUUUUAAUUGACAAAGCUUAAAAACUUUUAAGGAAAUUGGGGCAGAAUAAAUCCUUGAUUAUGUGUAAACUGAUAACCUUCAAAAACCAUUUAAAUUGCCUUUCUAAAGUAUUCUAAUCCAAUAUUUGCUAUAUGAUUUCGAACCAAGUUCGAUUUGUUCAAUUCAUGAUUAAAUGGCAAAGAUAAUAUUUUAAGGAGUUGAAAUAGUUCCACUUUAUUAAUAACUCGGUACAAACCUAAUAAAAAUGAGGAUAUUGGAGUCUCUCGCUCCCCUUGUAUUUGAGAGUAUUUUCGCUUAUUUAUUUAUUAUUUUAGAUUUCUAUGCUGCGUUUAUCUAGUUUAUUAAAAAAAAAGGAAGAUCCUCCUUCGAAAAAUUUCACAAAUUCCAUGCGAGUUAAGUAAGAACUACGCCAUUCAUUAUUUUUAUAUAUGCGGAUACAAGUUGAUCAUAUAUAUAUAUAGAGAGUAACUAAACUAUGUCUUCAGGCAACUAGUUAGCCCCGAACUUUGCUUGAAGAGCUUUCACUACAUAAGGAUCAAGUUGGAAUGCCCUGGCGAGAGCAUAAGGAUCAAUUGGUGGAUCUGAUCCGAAGACUACAUCUGCAAUUGUAAUAACACCAGGAUUCUGGCUACUCAAAGCAGCGAUGGCAAACAGCGUUGGUUGGUCGAAUAUUCACUUGGAAAUGAAUGAGCCCAUUUGGAAACACAAACACAUCUCCUUUGUUCAGGGCUCUGGUGAAGUGUGUUCUUUAGCUGGUUUGAUGUCACAAAACCAACAUAGAGAGUGCCCUCUAGGAUUACUAGGAUUUCUGGGGCACAAUGAUGAGAGUGAUGUGGGUUUGGCCGCUGUUUGCCGCGUAGUCGAUACGAACUAUAGAUAUGCCGAGUAGUGUUGUGCCCUGGAAUCUGUUCUACAUUUGCAGUUGUGACUGUUGAGCUAACUUGAUUCGCUACGCUUUUAGGGAUAUUGUGCCCUGAAAAUUAAUCAAAACUACUUGUUAAAAAGAUUCCGUUUCGUUUUGAAUUUUUUUGUGCCUUUUACUAUUUUAUCCCUAUAAUUAGACUUAUGAUACAUAAAAUGUCAACAAUUAAUCAAUAAGAGAAAAAAAUUAGUCAUAAGUCUGAUUUUAAUGGUAAAAUAAAAAAUAGACAAAAAAGUACAAAGUUUACGUAAUCAUUUUAAUGCCAAAGAGUUUUAAUGAGUUUUGAAACGUAAGGAGAAAAAUAAUAAAUCUACUAGAACAAUAGGAAGAUUUUGAUCAUUUUCCCACUGAUAUAAAGAAAAACGAUACACACCACACGUCUUGAUCUUGAAAUCGUUGAUGGCGACACAAAAAUCCUGAAGACGGCUAGGGUCAGAGGCAAUGGCCAAUGAACAAGCCAAAACCAAGAGAACAGAAGCUACAGGAAAUUGAACUCCUUUCAUGUUGAUUAGCCACAUGCAAUUAGGGAUGGCAAAAAUUCCUACGGGGACAGGUACCCUCGGGGAUUUUCCCCAUUCAGGGAGGGUAUGGGAAUAAUUUCAUACCCAAUUUCUUAUUCGAGGAAAGGAAGGAGAAAUUUUUUUACCAAUUUCUUAUUCGGGGAGGGGACAUGGAUGAGGUGGAAUCCUCAUCCCCUACCCGUUUUCCCAUUUUAAUUUUUAAUUUUAUUAUUAUUUUUUAAAAUUACUAGUAAAUAAAUAAUAAAAUUUGAAUUAUAAAAUUAUAAAUAUUGGUAAAAAUAACAAAUAUCAAAAUAUUUAUAUUAUUAAACUUUUAGGCUUAAUUAACUAAUUAAAGUUCUAAAUUUUUAUUUAGGACAUUAAAAAAACCGGGUAAAUUCUAUUAGCCCAAAAAUUUUGUUUUAAUUUUAAUAUUCAUUAAAUGUUUUAAACUUAAAUAUAUUUUUUAUUUAUUUUUAGAUGUUAUAAUUGCCCACAGCGAAUCACAAUUUUAAUAUCUAAUUUAAUCUAAUAUUUGCUCUUGAUUUGCUCCGACUUAACUAUUGUGUUGUAAAGGGAAUAGUCCACAUUUAUAAAGUGCCAUGCCACCAUUGAAAAAGUUAAUUUUGAAUCUAAAUUCGAUUUUAUUUGUAACAAUUUUGUAUUAGACUAUUAAUUUAUUCAUGAUAGUUUGUAAAAGAAGUUUGUAUCCCUUACAUGCUGCGUUACUUACUAAUUUAAUGUANNNNNNNNNNNNNNNNNNNNNNNNNNNNNNNNNNNNNNNNNNNNNNNNNNNNNNNNNNNNNNNNNNNNNNNNNNNNNNNNNNNNAAUGUAUUAGUUAUUCGGGGAUUGAGGACCCUUGGGGAUCCCCUAUUAUUAUUCGGGGAGGGGAUGUAGAUUCUCUCAAGUAAUUCUGACGGGGACGGGGACAUACGCAAAAUAUCAGGGAUGGGUACGGGGGGAUUGGUCCCCUCCCCUCCCCUCCCCAUUGCCAUCCCUACAUGCAAUUGCUUGCUACAUGCAUGCAAAUGUUCAACAUUAUGUGUGAUUGCUCUUAUCAAGCGACAUCAACUAGUCAUCUACCAAUUGAUCUUGGGGCUCAAUAGAAUCUGUUUCACAUCAGAUUUUGCAUAACAAAAAGUAAUGAAGAGAUUAAUUAAUAUAUGUGUGUGUGUGUGUGUGUGUACGGAAAAAAUAUAUGUAUAAGGAGAGGCAUGGGAAAGGCUUAGCUGCUAAAUAAAACCAACCAUAAAUUAUGUUUAUUACAUGGCUACAAUCAGCCUGAAGAGAGGUUCAUGAGAGAGCUUUUUUUUUACAUUAAUUAAGAUAUGAUAAUCUAGAGCUAAAACAAUAAAGCCACUAGUGAAGAGGCCAUUUAUAUUAAAAGCUCAUUAAUUCCUUCUCCUAAUCGCCAUUAAUGAACUUAUGCUGAAGAUCUUUCACUGUCUUCGGGUCCAACUGGAAUGCCUUGGCAAGAAAAUCGGGAUUGAUUGGAGGAUUAGCUCCAAAGACCGCGUCGGCUAUGGUAAUUUCACCGGGGAACUGGCUGUUUAGAGCAGAAUAGGCAACUGCAUUUGUUUUUCCAACGUUGAAUUGGAAGUGAAUCAAACCUUUUGGAAACACAAAAGCAUCUCCCUUAUUCAGAACUUUUGCGAUGAGUUUGUUAUUUAGCUGGUCUGAUGUCACAAAACCGACAUGAAGAGUUCCUUCCAGGACCAGCAGGAUUUCACUGGCACGGGGGUGAAUAUGAGGUGGCCUUUGGCCAUAUGGCGCAUAGUCAAUGCGGAAUGCUGAUAUGCCAAGGGUGUUGAGUCCUGGAAUUUGCUCAACAUUUGCAUCUGUUUCAUCAACACCAAGUCGAUUUGCUGUGUUUCCAGGCUUGUCUAGCCCUGAGAAGAAGAAAUCAUCUGCUCUCGCAAGCUUGGGGUCCUUGCAGAACUUCCCAUUCACAAACACUACAAGAACACACACACAUACACACACAAAGGGGGAAAAAAAGAAUAAUUAAGUAGCAGCACAAAUUUUAUUGAAAUUUAUAUGUUUCGUUAGUUCAGCUUACGUACCACCAUCCUUCGGGUCCUCGAUGGCUACACAGAUAUCUUGAAGAGGGCUAGGGUCAGAGGCAGAGGCCAAAGAAGAAGCCAAAGCCAAGAGAGCAAAACCUAUAAGAAAUUGAAUUGCCUUCAUGGUGAUUAAUUAACAGGACGUACUUAUCUCAAACUUUAAUCAAGUGUUGGGAUUUGAGAAUAUAGCGAGGGAACCUAGCCUAUUUAUAGAACGGAGUCCAUGAACGAGUCUGUGAGUUCAAUUUCUUAGUCCUCGAAGCAGGAGAAGACUAACAGAGUCCUCAUUGGUUAUCUUUCUUAGGGCCUGUUCGGUAAUUUUUUCCUCUCAUCUUAAAACAUAAUUUUUUCCUCUCAUCUUCUUCCUCUCUCUCUCUCCCUCGUCGUCAAAUCUUAUCUCUAAGUGUCUCAUCUUCUUCCUUUCUCUCCCUUACCAAGUUAUACACGUUACUGCUUUUUCCUUUUUUCUCGAUCAUUUUUUCAAUUGACAUUGUGCUUUCCUUCAAUUUACUCAACUCAUUGGAAAGAAACGAGUUGAAGAAUGUAUGAAAAUGGGUGAGAAGGAAAUUCACGUCUUUGGCAACAGACUAACAGUUGAGAGUCAUGUUCUGUAGAUAUCGAUGUUUCCGGACCUGAUUGGUUUGUCGUUGGACUUAAUGGAGAAGCAAGAUUAGGCUUUUUUUUUUUUUUCUUUUCAUAGCAACUUUCGUAGCUUCUUUAACCAUUUUUAGUUCUAUUAAUGCUUUACCAAGUCAAUGAUGCACGUGUUUUUUUCAUUACGUGUUAAAGUCACAAAUCAUCUGCUUCAAGAGAAAACAGACUAGGAUCAGAAAGGAACCAAAAGUCUUCCAUCUUAUUUUCUGUGGUCACGUUAAUUAGAAGCUGGAGUCGGCACUUUUUGUUAGAGAUAUCCUUCUACAAUCUCAAUUGAUAUAAUAUCAUUUCAACUUUAAUGGCUGCCCGAGGUUUACCGACCGGCUAGCUCAUUAUUUUUUUGAUAAAAAUUAGUUACCUUCGUUUGUUAUAUAAUCAGGGGGAUAUUGGAAUAAAAGAGAAUGGAAAAUGCUAAGUAUCAAGAAGAAUGAGAGAAAUCUGAGAGAAUGAAGCAUGUGCUGAGAGAAGAGAGAGAGAGAAAAAGUUGACAGAAGAGAGAGAGAUGAAGCAAAACAGAAACCUGAAUUGUAGUUUCUCUCAGCUUUCUCUCGUUCUUCUAGCCAUCUAGCAGCACUCAAAGAGAAUAAUUCUUUUUGACGCUUUAAUUAUGCAGUGAGUGCUACUAUAUGACUAGAAGAACGAGACAAAGCUGAGAGAAACUACAAUCUAGGUUGCCGUUUUGCUUCAUCUCUCUUUUUUGUCAGCUUUUUUUCUCUCUCUCUUCUCUCAGUACAUGCUUCAUUCUCUCAGCUCUCUCUCAUUCUUCUUGAUACUUAGCAUUUUCCUUAUGUAAUUGAUCCCCUGCAUUGGGAUUGUACCGUUAUAUAUUAUUUGCUGUUUGUUUUUUAUUUAAGAUCUGAAUAAGUUUAAAUUAGUAUGAAUUUUAAAUAAAUUUAAAUGCAUGAAUUUGAAUAACGUAUUUAUUUAUUUUUUGUCACAAACUUUGAGAAUAAAUAUUAAGUUAUUUUUAACUUCAAAAAUCUAAAAUCAAAACCUUUACAUUUGUGUCCUUACAAUUUUAAAUGUUAAAUAUAUAAUGAACAUCUCAAAGAAUAUAAAUAAGAUAGUAUUUUAUCAUAAUAUAUUUAUAUUUUGUAUGAAUUUUAAAUAAAUUUAAAUGCAUGAAUUUGAAUAACGUAUUUAUUUAUUUUUUGCCAGAAACUUUGAGAAUAAAUAUUAACUUUUAACUUAAAAAAUCUAAAAAUCAAAACCUUUACAUUUGCGCCUUUACAAUUUUAAAUGUUAAAUAUAUAAUGAACAUCUCAAAAAAUAUAAAUAAGAUAGUAUUUUAUCAUAACAUAAAUGGUGCUCAGUGAAUGCAACCUAUUAAUAUUCUAAAUUAGAAUUAUAUUAAUAAAAUUUUGUGAAGAUAAAUAAUUCUAGUUUGAAGAAAAUAAAAAGAUAAAAAUAAUGAUAAUUUACUACUAUAUUAGUAAGCUUUAUUUAGGUAAGGAGGAAAAUAAAUUAAUUAGAUAAAGGUAUUGCAGAGAAUAUUUUUCAAUGAUGUGAUUCAAAAUUUUCAGAUUAAGUAAAAAGCUAAACAAAAUAAUUAGCUUAAAAACUUAAUGACUUAUCAAUCACUAAAUUUUUUUAUUAAAUUGAAAAAAUUAACAGAGUUAUGGUCCAUUUAGGAUUUAUUUCGGGAGGUGCUUUUGAAAAGUUUAAAAGGUAAUUUUGAUGUUUGACAAAUUUUUUAAAAAAUCACUUUUAGCAAAAUCACCGUAUCAUACAACAAAUUUUUAAAAGUAGAGAAAGAGUAGUUUUUUAAAAUUGGAUUUCGAGAAUCCCUUUUAUACUUAAUACAAUUUCAUAUAUAUUCUUAUAUAUAGGAAAAAAUCCAAAACCAUCCUUAUAAAUUAGAAAAUAAAAUUAUUAAUUUUAAAGAGAUUAUUAUUAUUACCAAUUCUAUUGAGAUAACAAAAUAAAAAAUAAAAUUAAAAAUAUAAAACAUUUAUUUUAGUUAUCAAUUAUUAUUUAUACACAACUAAAAAUAUUUUAUUUACAUGUUUAUAAAUGUGUAAAUAAUUUUUAUUCAACAAUAUGUUCAAUUUAAUUAUUUACAUUGUUAAAACAUUUUAACAGUAAGAUUUACUAAACAUUUAAUUGAUCUCUAUACAGCUAUNNNNNNNNNNNNNNNNNNNNNNNNNNNNNNNNNNNNNNNNNNNNNNNNNNNNNNNNNNNNNNNNNNNNNNNNNNNNNNNNNNNNNNNNNNNNNNNNNNNNAUUAAAUCAUUAAGUUAGGAAAACAAACUGCCCUUUAGUAAAUUUCUUAAUGCAAAUAUUAUUAAACUAUAAUGUAAUUAAAAAUAAUAAUCUCUUCCUCUAUUCACUUUUUUAAUUACAAUUAGUUUCAGUAGCUAUUUUGAAUGACAAACUGAAUUGAUCGCGAUAUAAUAAUCUCUUCUUUCAAUCAUAUGGGCAGGUUUGAGUCACUGAGGUAGCUGUGGGAAUUUGUUUUCGUUGAUUUCUGCACUGGGCUUUUUAGGAUUAUUUGUAAAGGCAUUAAUUAAGUAUUUUUAAUGGGUUUAUAUGUAAAUUAGAUUGUAUGUAAUAUUAAAGGUUUGUCAACCAAACUGGCAACCAUUAAUUAAGUUAAAAUCCAUUCGUGUCAGUAUUUAAGAUACGUGUCACAUUCUGGCAACAAUCUUAAUAUGUGUUUCCAUUCGAACUUUCCACUGGCUGCUUGACCCAUCUAAGUUAUGAAAAGUUUCUGAGAAAAUGAAAAAAUAAUCCAUGGCCGUGGAAAUAAUAGAACGCCGCCAGCUGUAUUGUAUGAUUCUAUGAGCGAUUUAUCAUUUCUUUUUUCUUUUUAUUUCGACAAUUUAUUACUGACUACUGUAUUGCAGGCUUGUAGCCAUUAAGUGUUUGGAUAAUUUAUCCCAUUAUUUUCAAAUAUAAUCCAGAUAUAAUUCUAGAUUAUGCUGGUAGAAACAUCGUCUCAAAGAUUCUAUUGGGUCAUCAAUAGCUGUAUAUAUCUUGAAGGGGACUAAUUUUUCUAGGAUAUGCUGGUGGAAAAUUUUGCACCACGUAACUACUAUGAAUGAGUCUUUGUUGCUUAAUUAAGACUCUAAUCUCUCUUUCUAGACUGCAAGAUAAGUUUAAGCUAGAAACAUUAUAUCAAGGUGUACACAUUUUCAUCAAAUAUAAUUGUAGACUUUCUGGUCACACAUUUUACCAUUUAGUCCAUAAUUUUUCAAAAUACCUAUUAUGUUUCUAAUAUUAUACUUUUAUGUUUGAAUUAGUCUGUUGAACUAUACAUGUGACUUUUUAACAUAGAAUACCCUACAUACCUUUUAGUAGGGGAUUUAAAAAAAAGAGCGCAUUAUAUUAAACUAAGGUAGUAUUUGUUUUUUUUUUUUUUGUCUGAAAUCUAAAUGAAUCUGAAUUUUUCUAAAGUCUGAAUGGGUCUGAUUACGAAAAUUUAAAUAAUAUGUUUAUUUUUCUUUUUUAAAUAUCUGAAUAUAAGUGACAUUUUGUUUGUUUUUAAAAUAAAAACAUCUUAAACUUGGUUAUUUGACAUUUAUGUCCUUGUAAAUUCAAAAAAAAAAAAGAGAAUUAGAUUUUAUAGUUUAGGAAAUAAGUUAUUUUACAGAGAUAUUUUUAGAAUAUAAUAUUUACUUGUCUUUCAGACCUUUUUUCAUACAGAUAAAAGUCACAAAGUUUAUUUUUUCUAUUCAUAUGUAAAUGUCUGAAAAUCAGACAUAAGUUCCAAAAAAACAAACAAGUAUAUUUUAGAAAAGGUCUGAAAUUAAUAAAAUUUCAAACUUCAGACAUUUAACAAACAAUCUCUAAGUGUAUGUUUAAUAUGAUUUAUCUAAUGGUCAUAAGUGCUUAUCUAAUCCCAUAAAUUCCUUUUAAAAUUAUUAUUAUUGUUUGAUUGCAUUUUAAGUAAAGUUUUUAAGGAUUAAAUAAAUUUUUUUGUCUCUACUAACAAAAGCUUAAAUUUUAAAAUUUUGAGAGUAUAGAUUAGAGAGACCUUUUAAAAAGUUAAAUCGUCCAAAAUGUUCCAUUAUUUAUUUCACAAUAUUAUGACAUUUCUCUCUCUCUCUCUCUCUCUCUCUCUCUCUAUAUAUAUAUAUAUAUAUAUAUAUAUAUAUCUUAAUUUUAAAAAUUGAUCUAUUAAAAUAAUUUUAUAUAAUUUUUAACAAAGAUCUCAUCGACAACCAAACAACUAAAAUUUCUUUAAUAAAAGCUUCACUUAUAAAAAUUUUACUAACAAAAAUUUUAUUUGAAUAAAUUUUAUCAGAAAAAUUAUACCAAACGAAGCUAACAAUAAGAUUAUAAUAGUAAAAGAAUUCAAUAAUUGCACUCUUAAUGUUACCAUUUAAAAAUUAUUAAGUUAAGAAUGAAAUAGGUAAUUUGGGAAACCCAUCUGGAGGGAUUUGCUUAACAUCCUUUAAAAUUUUUUCCCAGCUGGAAGUAAUUGCUGAACAUCCUUUUCAAUUCCCGAGUAUUAUCUAAUCAGCUUAUUUUGUCAUUUUUAGGUGUUUGCAAAGGCUUUUGGCAAGGAUACUGGGUUGGCUUACGUGUAGUGGACUGAUCAUGUUGACUUUGUUCGGUAGCACAUUUUAUUUUACGCGUGUCUAGUUGUAACCAUGUCUCUCACUGUAUACACCAGUGUGAGUGGGUCCACCUACUAUUUUAUGACAAUUUAUGUUAUACUGACAAUAUUAUUCGUGCUGAUCACAAGUUUGAAGUUUUGCUUCUCUCGAAGAACUGGCUCCUUUCAUUUAUUUAUUUAUUAAAAUUUACAUUUUUUUUCCGUUUCCUUGCAAGAAAGGUAAUUAGAUUAAGUUUAACGGGGCGAUGAUGUUUUCCAUUAAAUAAGUAAAACACAAUUUUAUGCCAGAGUAGAAAUGGCCAAUCAAAACAAGGGUUAUCCAUGUUCGUGCCAUGCCGUCGUGUGCUUAAUUUUUUUUUCUCGUACCUUGCCCAUAUGUGUUGUGUUGUGUCUAAAAAGAAGUUCAAUAAUUUUUUUUAGUUUUUUAAAAGCACGUACUAAGUAAUUGAUAUAUUUUUUUUAAGUUUAUGUUUUUUUUAGGUCUAUACCUUUAUUCAAAUUUAAUAGAAUUGAAAAUUUAAAACUCAAGUCUAUAUUUUAUAAUAAUAAACUAAUAAUAGUAAGAGAAUGUAAUAUUAAUUUUUAAGUUUGACAUUUUAACAUUAUUUUUUUUUAUACUUAACAACAACAACAAUAAUAAAUUUUUCUUAAGGGUUAACUUAAUUGUUAACUUAGACUUACAUAGAGUCAUAGAUCAUAAUUCACAAUAAUAUUAAUGGAUAUUUAUAAAAUCAUAAUAAUUAUAAUUUUAUUUAUUAAAAUCAUGAUAUCAAUUAUAUAUUUAAUAAAUUAUAAAUAUAAAUCAAUUAUAGUACUCUUUAAACUAAGAAUUAAAUGAAUUUAAAAAAUUCAUUUUCAAGUUAUUUGUAAAACUAUAAAAUUUUAAGUUUACUUUCAUUAAAAAAUAAAAUGUGCUUAUUGUGAACUUUUUUAUCGUGCUAUACUUAGUCCAUUUCUAAUCAUGUAGUGCUUUUAAUGCUCGUGUGCUUAAAAUUUUAAGUCUGGCCCAGUCCACGUGCGUACUGUGCCAUACCACAUACCCUACCAAAACGUGCUGGUAUUGUGCCGUACUGUACGAAUACAUGUCGUGCCAUGUGUCAUCUAGUCCAUUGGCCAUCUCUACGCCAGAGUGACAAUAUGCCACAUUGAGAAGAAUUGUGUGCCCCUAAAGCUGGAUUAAUAAUUUAAUUUGAAUUGACAUCUAUAACAGUUGUAGGCUAACCAAUAUUUCCACAGAAAAAAGUAGUUCAAAAUUAUUGGUCGCAUCUUGUCAUAAAUUUUUUAACUCUGCGCAGUUGGUGUAAUAGUUUCGGCUGCUAUUCUCUUUACUACUAGAGCCUAGAGAUGGAGUGAAGCAUAUUGGGAAUUAGGAAAAGAGAGUUGCUUCCUUACAAUUAGGCAGGCGCUAAGUUACGGUUAACGUAACUUACGCCCACACACAGUAACAGUACCACUGGUGGGGCCUGGUACUGUUGCUACGUAAGUUACGUUAUGCCGAGUAGUGUUGUGCCCUAGAAUCUGUUCUACAUUUGCAGUUGUGACUGUUGAGCCAACUUGAUUUGCAAUGCUUUUAGGGAUAUUGUGCCCUGAAAAUUAAUCAAAACUACUUGUUAAAAAGAUUCCGUUUCGUUUUGAAUUUUUUUGUGCCUUUUACUAUUUUAUCCCUAUAAUUAGACUUAUGAUACAUAAAAUGUCAACAAUUAAUCAAUAAGAGAAAAAAAUUAGUCAUAAGUCUGAUUUUAAUGGUAAAAUAAAAAAUAGACAAAAAAGUACAAAGUUUACGUAAUCAUUUUAAUGCCAAAGAGUUUUAAUGAGUUUUGAAACGUAAGGAGAAAAAUAAUAAAUCUACUAGAACAAUAGGAAGAUUUUGAUCAUUUUCCCACUGAUAUAAAGAAAAACGAUACACACCACACGUCUUGAUAUUGAAAUCGUUGAUGGCGACACAAAAAUCCUGAAGACGGCUAGGGUCAGAGGCAAUGGCCAAUGAACAAGCCAAAACCAAGAGAACAGAAGCUACAGGAAAUUGAACUCCUUUCAUGUUGAUUAGCCACAUGCAAUUCCUUGCUACAUGCAUGCAAAUGUUCAACAUUAUGUGUGAUUGCUCUUAUCAAGCGACAUCAACUAGUCAUCUACCAAUUGAUCUUGGGGCUCAAUAGAAUCUGUUUCACAUCAGAUUUUGCAUAACAAAAAGUAAUGAAGAGAUUAAUUAAUAUAUGUGUGUGUGUGUGUGUACGGAAAAAAUAUAUGUAUAAGGAGAGGCAUGGGAAAGGCUUAGCUGCUAAAUAAAAACAACCAUAAAUUAUGUUUAUUAAAUGGCUACAAUCAGCCUGAAGAGAGGUUCAUGAGAGAGCUUUUUUUUUAACAUUAAUUAAGAUAUGAUAAUCUGGAGCUAAAACAAUAAAGCCACUAGUGAAGAGGCCAUUUAUAUUAAAGCUCAUUAAUUCCUUCUCCUAAUCGCCAUUAAUGAACUUAUGCUGAAGAUCUUUCACUGUCUUCGGGUCCAACUGGAACGCCUUGGCAAGAAAAUCGGGAUUGAUUGGAGGAUUGGCUCCAAAGACCGCGUCGGCUAUGGUAAUUUCACCGGGGAACUGGCUGUUUAGAGCAGAAUAGGCAACUGCAUUUGUUUUUCCAAUGUUGAAUUGGAAAUGAAUCAAACCAAUUGGAAACACAAAAGCAUCUCCCUUAUUCAGAACUUUUGAGAUGAGUGUGUUAUUCAGUUGGUCUGAUGUCACAAAACCGACGUGAAGAGUUCCUUCCAGGACCAACAGGAUUUCACUGGCACGGGGGUGAAUAUGAGGUGGCCUUUGGCCAUAUGGCGCAUAGUCAAUACGGAAUGCUGAUAUGCCAAGGGUAUUGAGUCCUGGAAUUUGCUCCACAUUUGCAUCUGUUUCAUCAACACCAAGUCGAUUUGCUGUGUUUCCAGGCUUGCCAAGCCCGGAAAAGAAGAAAUCUUCUGCUCUCGCAAGCUUGGG
rnacentral:lncRNA from 1 species